rnacentral:lncRNA from 1 species
CUAUGGAAGCUAACAUACGUAACAAGGACCCAAAUAGCUAGAGACCAAGAGAACGUACAAUCAAACCCAGUAUCUCGCUGCGAAUAGCCAAUGACACCACAGAUCAAAGGACCACUUACACCACUGCAGCAUCGAGAAAAUCACUGAUGAGUGAGUAGACAUUCAUGUGGUUCUCGUAUUGAUCACGCUCAGUAUAAGUUAUUCUUUAACAACCACCUGUACCUUCACCCCAGUGUCUCUACACCGCAGA